rnacentral:rRNA from 1 species
UUGUAAUUUGGAGAAGGUGUUUCGGGAGAGAUGAUGGUCCAAGUCCCUUGGAACAGGGCGUCACAGAGGGUGAGAAUCCCGUAUGUGACCAUUCAUCGAUUCCAUGUGAAACCCUUUCGACGAGUCGAGUUGUUUGGGAAUGCAGCUCUAAAUGGGUGGUAAAUUUCAUCUAAAGCUAAAUACCUGCCAGAGACCGAUAGCGCACAAGUAGAGUGAUCGAAAGAUGAAAAGCACUUUGAAAAGAGAGUCAAACAGUACGUGAAAUUGUUGAAAGGGAAGCACUUGCAAUCAGACUCGUUUGCAGAAGCUCAGCCUUCCUUCGGGAUGGUGUAUUCUUCUGUUAACGGGCCAGCAUCAGUUUCGGCGGCUGGAUAAAGACUUCGAGAACGUAGCUCUCCUCGGAGAGUAUUAUAGCUCGGAGUGUAAUGCAGCAGUUGAGACUGAGGUCCGCGCUUUUGCUAGGAUGCUGGCGUAAUGGUUACU